rnacentral:rRNA from 1 species
UGGGCCCUACGGGGGGCAGCAGUGAGGAAUAUUGGUCAAUGGCCGAGAGGCUGAACCAGCCAAGUAGCGUGCAGGAUGACGGCCCUCGUGGUUGUAAACUGCUUUUAGUCGGGAAUAAAAGGGGGUUCGUGAACCCCGUAUUGUAUGUACCGUCAGAAAAAGGACCGGCUAAUUCCGUGCCAGCAGCCGCGGUAAUACGGAAGGUCCGGGCGUUAUCCGGAUUUAUUGGGUUUAAAGGGAGCGUAGGCGGUCCGUUAAGUCAGUUGUGAAAGCUCGGGGCUCAACCCCGGCAUUGCAGUUGAAAC